rnacentral:rRNA from 1 species
UCGUCUAUAUACGUAUAGCAUAUCAAUAAGCGGAGGAAAAGAAACUAACUAGGAUUCCCUUCAGUAACGGCGAGUGAAGCGGGAAGAGCUCAAAUUUGAAAUCUUCAAGGUUUUACCUUGACGAAUUGUAGUUUAAAGAAGUGUUUUCUGUUGGAGUUUUGGUAAAAGUUCUUUGGAAAAAGACAUCAAAGAGGGUGAGAAUCCCGUAUUUGACCAUUAUUUCCAGCUUUGUGAUACACUUUCAAAGAGUCGGAUUGUUUGGGAAUGCAGUCCAAAAUGGGUGGUAAAUUUCAUCUAAAGCUAAAUACUGGCGAGAGACCGAUAGCGAACAAGUACCGUGAGGGAAAGAUGAAAAGAACUUUGAAAGAGAGUUAAACAGUACGUGAAAUUGUCAAGAAGGGAAGCGUUUGACACCAGUGUUGUUUUCUCGAAAAUCAAUUAAAAAUGGCGGGAUUUUGUGUUGUAUUGACUUUAUCAGCUUUCUGCACUUUUUUCCUGUCUUUUUUAAUGCACUUUUCGUUUAACAAGUCAACAUCAAUUUCUUUUGUUGUAAAAGGGUCAUUGGAAGGUGGCUAUCUUUUCGGAGAAAGUGUUUAUAGCCUUUGGCCUCUGCAAUCGGAGAGAUUGAGGUCUGCAGCGUAGAUCCUUCGGGGUUAGAUAGCAUUUGUGCUAAGCUAUAGCCUUUCAUAGACAACUUGUUGACUAUGAUCCAGUCAUGUAGCUUACUCGCUUAUGUUAUUUUACCUACGCUUAGGAUGUUGACGAUCAGCUGAGCGCG